UUUCCGUAGGUGAACCUGCGGAAGGAUCAUUAUUGUAUAACCGAGGUGCGAGGGCUGUCGCUGACCCGAAAGUUCGUGCACGCCCGAGUGCCCUCACACACAUCCAUCUCACCCCUAUGUGCACCACCGCGUGGGUCACCCUUUGGCUUGUUCGGAGGGGGGCUUACGUUUUCACACAAACUUUGUAUGCAGUGUAGAAUGUAUUUUUUGUUUUUGCGAUCACGCAAUCAAUACAACUUUCAACAACGGAUCUCUUGGCUCUC
rnacentral:misc_RNA from 1 species